rnacentral:tRNA from 1 species
UGCGCCCGUAGCUCAGUGGAUUAGAGCGAUAGGUUGCGGUCCUAUAGGCCGGGAGUUCGAAUCUCUUCGGGCGCAU